rnacentral:rRNA from 1 species
GACGUCACAGAGGGUGAGAAUCCCGUGCGAUGAGAUGUCCAACUCUAUGUAAAGUGCUUUCGAAGAGUCGAGUUGUUUGGGAAUGCAGCUCUAAGUGGGUGGUAAAUUCCAUCUAAAGCUAAAUAUUGGCGAGAGACCGAUAGCGAACAAGUACAGUGAUGGAAAGAUGAAAAGAACUUUGAAAAGAGAGUGAAAAAGUACGUGAAAUUGUUGAAAGGGAAGGGUUUGAGAUCAGACUUGGUAUUUUGUAUGUCUUGCUUUCGGGUGGGGCCUCUGCAGUUUACUGGGCCAGCAUCGGUUUGGACGGUAGGAUAAUGGCAUUGGAAUGUGGCACUACUUCGGUGGUGUGUUAUMGACUUUGUUGAUACUACCUGUCUAGACCGAGGACUGCGUCUUUGACUAGGAUGCUGGCAUAAUGAUCCUAAACCGCCCGUCUUGAAACACGGACCAAGGAGUCUAACGUCUAUGCAAGUGUUUGGGUGUAAAACCCGUACGCSUAAUGAAAGUGAACGUAGGUGAGAGCUCUUUAGAGUGCAUCAUCGACCGAUCCUGAUGUCUUCGGAUGGAUUUGAGUAAGAGCAUAGCUGUUGGGACCCGAAAGAUGGUGAACUAUGCCCGAAUAGGGUGAAGCCAGAGGAAACUCUGGUGGAGGCUCGUAGCGGUUCUGACGUGCAAAUCGAUCGUCGAAUUUGGGUAUA